rnacentral:rRNA from 2 species
CGAACGAACUCUGGGAUUGAUUGGUGCUUGCAUCAUGAUUUACAUUUGAGUGAGUGGCGAACUGGUGAGUAACACGUGGGAAACCUGCCCAGAAGCGGGGGAUAACACCUGGAAACAGAUGCUAAUACCGCAUAACAACUUGGACCGCAUGGUCCGAGUUUGAAAGAUGGCUUCGGCUAUCACUUUUGGAUGGUCCCGCGGCGUAUUAGCUAGAUGGUGGGGUAACGGCUCACCAUGGCAAUGAUACGUAGCCGACCUGAGAGGGUAAUCGGCCACAUUGGGACUGAGACACGGCCCAAACUCCUACGGGAGGCAGCAGUAGGGAAUCUUCCACAAUGGACGAAAGUCUGAUGGAGCAACGCCGCGUGAGUGAAGAAGGGUUUCGGCUCGUAAAACUCUGUUGUUAAAGAAGAACAUAUCUGAGAGUAACUGUUCAGGUAUUGACGGUAUUUAACCAGAAAGCCACGGCUAACUACGUGCCAGCAGCCGCGGUAAUACGUAGGUGGCAAGCGUUGUCCGGAUUUAUUGGGCGUAAAGCGAGCGCAGGCGGUUUUUUAAGUCUGAUGUGAAAGCCUUCGGCUCAACCGAAGAAGUGCAUCGGAAACUGGGAAACUUGAGUGCAGAAGAGGACAGUGGAACUCCAUGUGUAGCGGUGAAAUGCGUAGAUAUAUGGAAGAACACCAGUGGCGAAGGCGGCUGUCUGGUCUGUAACUGACGCUGAGGCUCGA